GGCAGCAUGGUCUUAGCUUGCUAAGGCCGAUGGCGACCGGCGCACGGGUGAGUAACACGUAUCCAACCUGCCGUCUACUCUUGGACAGCCUUCUGAAAGGAAGAUUAAUACAAGAUGGCAUCAUGAGUCCGCAUGUUCACAUGAUUAAAGGUAUUCCGGUAGACGAUGGGGAUGCGUUCCAUUAGAUAGUAGGCGGGGUAACGGCCCACCUAGUCUUCGAUGGAUAGGGGUUCUGAGAGGAAGGUCCCCCACAUUGGAACUGAGACACGGUCCAAACUCCUACGGGAGGCAGCAGUGAGGAAUAUUGGUCAAUGGGCGAGAGCCUGAACCAGCCAAGUAGCGUGAAGGAUGACUGCCCUAUGGGUUGUAAACUUCUUUUAUAAAGGAAUAAAGUCGGAUAUGGAUACCCGUUUGCAUGUACUUUAUGAAUAAGGAUCGGCUAACUCCGUGCCAGCAGCCGCGGUAAUACGGAGGAUCCGAGCGUUAUCCGGAUUUAUUGGGUUUAAAGGGAGCGUAGAUGGAUGUUUAAGUCAGUUGUGAAAGUUUGCGGCUCAACCGUAAAAUUGCAGUUGAUACUGGAUAUCUUGAGUGCAGUUGAGGCAGGCGGAAUUCGUGGUGUAGCGGUGAAAUGCUUAGAUAUCACGAAGAACUCCGAUUGCGAAGGCAGCCUGCUAAGCUGCAACUGACAUUGAGGCUCGAAAGUGUGGGUAUCAAACAGGAUUAGAUACCCUGGUAGUCCACACGGUAAACGAUGAAUACUCGCUGUUUGCGAUAUACUGCAAGCGGCCAAGCGAAAGCGUUAAGUAUUCCACCUGGGGAGUACGCCGGCA
rnacentral:rRNA from 1 species